rnacentral:rRNA from 1 species
UACGUAGGGUGCGAGCGUUGUCCGGAAUUAUUGGGCGUAAAGGGCUCGUAGGCGGUUUGUCGCGUCGGGAGUGAAAACACCGGGCUUAACUCGUGCUUGCUUUCGAUACGGGCAGACUAGAGGCAUGUCAGGGGAGAACGGAAUUCCUGGUGUAGCGGUGAAAUGCGCAGAUAUCAGGAGGAACACCGGUGGCGAAGGCGGUUCUCUGGGACAUCGUCGUGCGCUGAGGAGCGAAAGUGUGGGGAGCGAACAGG